AACAAUAAAUAAAAUAUAUAAAUGUUAUAGAGAAUAAACAAAUCAUGUGUAGAUACAGUUUUCAAAUGUUUUUCAUUAACAGUUUAGAAACAGAAUCAUUUUUGAAAACAAAUAUGUAAUAAAAUGCCUAUUCAGAUCCUACCCCCAUCCGCUACACACCAACUCCGUCCAUCCCGACACACAUGCUACGGUAUCCAGUACCCGUCCAACCUCACAC
rnacentral:lncRNA from 1 species